GGGCGCAUAGUCUCAGUUGGUUAGAGCGCUUCCUUCACACGGAAGAGGUCACAGGUUCGAGUCCUGUUGCGCCCACCA
rnacentral:tRNA from 1 species